UGGAGGCAGCAGUGGGGAAUAUUGGACAAUGGGGGCAACCCUGAUCCAGCCAUGCCGCGUGAGUGAUGAAGGCCUUCGGGUUGUAAAGCUCUUUUGGCGGGGACGAUGAUGACGGUACCCGCAGAAUAAGCCCCGGCUAACUUCGUGCCAGCAGCCGCGGUAAGACGAAGGGGGCAAGCGUUGUUCGGAAUUACUGGGCGUAAAGCGCGUGUAGGUGGUUGCACGAGUCAGGCGUGAAAGCCUCGAGCUCAACUCGAGAGAUGCGCUUGAUACUGUGCGGCUAGAGGACCGGAGAGGAUAGUGGAAUUCCCAGUGUAGUGGUGAAAUACGUAGAGAUUGGGAAGGACACCAGUGGCGAAGGCGGCUAUCUGGACGGUUUCUGACACUAAGACGCGAAAGCGUGGGGAGCAAACAGGAUUAGAUACCCCGGU
rnacentral:rRNA from 1 species